CUCCGCUCGCUUGCCGGGCUCCGGAUGGUGGGAGUCAAGAUGGCGGCGGCCGCAGCAGCCAGUAUUAGAGAGAGACAAACAGUGGCUUUGAAGCGUAUGUUGAAUUUCAACGUGCCUCAUGUUAAAAACAGCACUGGAGAACCAGUAUGGAAGGUGCUCAUUUAUGACAGAUUUGGCCAAGAUAUCAUCUCUCCUCUGCUAUCUGUGAAGGAGCUAAGAGACAUGGGAAUCACUCUGCAUUUGCUUUUGCAUUCUGAUCGAGAUCCUAUUCCAGAUGUUCCUGCAGUGUACUUUGUAAUGCCAACUGAGGAAAAUAUUGACAGAAUGUGCCAGGAUCUUCGAAAUCAACUCUAUGAAUCAUAUUAUUUAAAUUUUAUUUCUGCUAUUUCAAGAAGUAAACUGGAAGAUAUUGCAAAUGCAGCAUUAGCAGCUAGUGCAGUCACACAAGUAGCCAAGGUUUUUGAUCAGUAUCUCAAUUUUAUUACUUUGGAAGAUGAUAUGUUUGUAUUAUGUAAUCAAAAUAAGGAGCUUGUUUCAUAUCGUGCCAUUAACAGGCCAGAUAUCACAGACACAGAAAUGGAAACUGUUAUGGACACAAUUGUUGACAGCCUCUUCUGCUUUUUUGUUACACUGGGUGCUGUUCCUAUAAUCAGAUGUUCAAGAGGAACAGCAGCAGAAAUGGUGGCAGUGAAACUAGAUAAGAAACUUCGAGAAAAUCUAAGAGAUGCAAGAAACAGUCUUUUUACAGGUGAUACCCUUGGAGCUGGCCAAUUCAGCUUCCAAAGGCCUUUAUUAGUCCUUGUUGACAGAAACAUAGAUUUGGCAACUCCUUUACACCAUACUUGGACAUAUCAAGCCUUGGUGCAUGAUGUACUGGAUUUCCACUUAAACAGAGUUAAUUUGGAAGAAUCUUCGGGAGUGGAAAACUCUCCAGCUGGUGCUAGACCAAAGAGAAAAAACAAAAAGUCUUAUGAUUUAACUCCAGUUGAUAAAUUUUGGCAGAAACAUAAAGGAAGUCCAUUCCCAGAAGUUGCAGAAUCAGUUCAGCAAGAACUAGAAUCUUACAGAGCACAGGAAGAUGAGGUUAAACGACUUAAAAGCAUCAUGGGACUAGAAGGGGAAGAUGAAGGAGCGAUAAGUAUGCUUUCUGACAAUACUGCUAAGCUAACAUCAGCUGUUAGUUCUUUGCCAGAACUCCUUGAAAAAAAAAGACUUAUUGAUCUCCAUACAAAUGUUGCCACUGCUGUUUUAGAACAUAUAAAGGCAAGGAAACUGGAUGUGUAUUUUGAAUAUGAAGAAAAAAUAAUGAGCAAAACUACUCUGGAUAAGUCUCUUCUAGAUAUAAUAUCAGACCCUGAUGCAGGAACUCCAGAAGAUAAAAUGAGGCUGUUUCUUAUCUAUUAUAUAAGCACGCAGCAAGCACCUUCUGAGGCUGAUUUGGAGCAAUACAAAAAAGCUUUAACAGAUGCAGGAUGCAACCUUAAUCCCUUACAAUAUAUCAAACAGUGGAAGGCUUUUGCCAAGAUGGCCUCAGCUCCUGCCAGCUAUGGCAACACUACCACUAAACCAAUGGGUCUCUUAUCACGGGUCAUGAAUACAGGAUCACAAUUUGUGAUGGAAGGAGUGAAGAACUUGGUAUUGAAACAGCAAAAUCUACCUGUGACUCGUAUUUUAGACAAUCUCAUGGAGAUGAAGUCAAAUCCUGAAACCGAUGACUAUAGAUAUUUUGAUCCCAAAAUGCUGCGGGGCAAUGACAGCUCAGUUCCAAGGAACAAAAAUCCCUUCCAAGAGGCAAUUGUUUUUGUGGUAGGAGGAGGCAACUACAUUGAAUAUCAGAAUCUUGUUGACUACAUAAAGAAGGCUUUAAUAAAGGUAGAGGUUUUGGUACAGCAGAAUGGAAAAAAGCAUAGGCAGAAGAACUUCAACACCACGAGACACAACUCCUGGGAUCCUAUCUCAGUUGCACAGGACAUGCUUCAUCUUCAGAUUGUGAACCACCAAGAUCUGUGGGAAACAAGGUAAACACAUUUUAUAUGGCUGCAGUGAACUUUUUAAUGCUGCACAGUUCAUAAAACAGCUGUCACAACUUGGACAGAAAUAACGCAGAAGAACCUUAAUAUGAGAAUCUACUUGGAACUUGGAUAAAUGUAAAAAGAAAAGUCAAAAGAGCCAGAUGUUUCUUUUUCCAUCUCAAUGUCCUAACAGUGAAACUUAGAGUUAUUUGUUAAUUUUUAAAGAAAUUCUAUACUUAAUAUAAUGUAUACUGAUUAAAAGAAUAAAACAUUUCAGAAAUAAAUUUUUAACAUU